rnacentral:rRNA from 1 species
UACGUAGGGUGCAGGCGUUAAUCGGAAUUACUGGGCGUAAAGCGUGCGCAGGCGGUUUGCUAAGACAGGUGUGAAAUCCCCGGGCUUAACCUGGGAACUGCGCUUGUAACUGGCAAGCUAGAGUGUGGCAGAGGGGGGUGGAAUUCCCGGUGUAGUGGUGAAAUGCGUAGAUAUCGGGAGGAACACCAGUGGCGAAGGCGACUUCCUGGCCUGUUCUUGACGCUGAGGCGCGAAAGCUAGGGUAGCAAACGGG